UUCCCUGUGGUCCAGUGGUUAGGACUCUGCACUUUCACUGCUGAGGGCCUGAGUUCAAUCCCUAGUUGGGGAA
rnacentral:tRNA from 1 species